UCACUCAUCUGGUGCGGACGAUGCCAUGAUCACAAGGUGGUUUCCCAUGUCAAGGUUCCUCCUUGUGCUUGGGUGUACUGACCCCACCAGCUCUCCAAAUGCAGGAGAGUUGACUGCAUAGUGUGUGGUAGUGAGGGUCUUCACCCUUG
rnacentral:snRNA from 1 species